UCUAUACGAGCGGUUUCUGGAGUCUGGACAGCGCGCGCCGAACGUUAACGGGAGGUCCUCGGCGGCAAAUCUUCAGCGGUGCUCGUGGAUACUGCUCGGUGUUGGCGGCCCACCUCCCGUUCUAUUCCAAUCAGGCGAUGCGGUGAGGGGCUGCUCGUGGGAUCAAUAGUGCGGUGGUCGGCGGGCAGGCGGGGCGGCAUGGUGCUCAACGGCUGGUGUCGAUGUUGGGCGGCCCUUGUAUAUAUGGUGGUCGCGGUGGCUCUACCGUGAAUGGAUGCGGCGGCUCUGCGCUGCAGUAGUUUAGGAAGAAGAUGGAGAAGAAGUAUCCUGGGAAGUAGGCAGAAGCUGACAUGGACGAGGGGGCACGUGUGCCAUCUCCUAGAUGUGGAGAGCGGCAACAGCCAUAUAGCACCCCAUUUGAGGAAGCCGCAAGGUUGCAGGUGGGGAGCUCAUGGGAGGAUGUGAGAAACCCUGAUCCCAGUUCCAAUAUAUUUACACUUCUUUUAUGUCUGUGUUCUUUCCAAAUUUUCUGUUUUUCUGAAGCAAUAAGGGAAGGGGGUAUCCAACCUGAAAUGGAAUUUCAUUAAUUAAGGACCAGGGUUACAACUCUUAGGGAACUGGUUCUUUCCAAAUUGCUAAAUCGGUGUUCGAUUUCUGUCGAAUCGGUAGUAUGGAGAGAUCAUGAGACGAAAUGUCAUACCUGCUAUAUGCGUGCUCGUGUUUGCAUGGUAUACUU